AACGAACGCUGGCGGCAGGCCUAACACAUGCAAGUCGAACGCUCCAGCAAUGGAGAGUGGCAGACGGGUGAGUAACACGUGGGAACCUUCCCUAUGGUUCGGAAUAGCUCAGGGAAACUUGGGGUAAUACCGGAUAAGCCCUUCGGGGAAAGAUUUAUCGCCAUUGGAUGGGCCCGCGUCGGAUUAGCUAGUUGGUGAGGUAACGGCUCACCAAGGCAACGAUCCGUAGCUGGUCUGAGAGGAUGAUCAGCCACACUGGGACUGAGACACGGCCCAGACUCCUACGGGAGGCAGCAGUGGGGAAUAUUGGACAAUGGGCGCAAGCCUGAUCCAGCCAUGCCGCGUGAGUGACGAAGGUCUUCGGAUUGUAAAACUCUUUUGGCGGGACGAUAAUGACGGUACCCGCAGAAUAAGCCCCGGCUAACUUCGUGCCAGCAGCCGCCGUAA
rnacentral:rRNA from 1 species